ensembl:lncRNA
ACAAUCGUAAGUGAGUGCGACCUGAACGCGUCAGUGAAUGACGUAGCCUGAACGAUUCAUUCCUGAACUGGACUGAUCGGAUUGAAACCAAUGGAGCUACGAUCAACUUAAGCUUACGAUGUUUUUUGGGAAAUACAGCCCUGGUCAGAAUGACUAAUAUGAGAAGUGAAGACUCAUUUCAGUCUGAAGUCGACGCUGCCUCUCUGAUCUUGGAUGAAGGUGUGACUGUUGGUUAGUAUCAGGCGUCGAGGAGCUGCGGGAAAAUGAACGUUUUGAUGCAACGCCCUGAGAAACAGUGCGACCUGAGCUCAGGUCUGAACAGAACAAACGGUUAAAUUGAGCCAUCACCACCCAUCUCCUCUGUUUGCUUAAGUGUGUUACUGGGUUAUCUGGCCAAAGACUACUCAUCUUAUCAAACAUGCCGAGUCACCUCCCUUCAACUCUAGUGAAGACUUACGGUUUUGGGAAAGUACAUUGUGUAAAAGCACCACAAACGAAUGUCCCUGUUUCAGUCUAAAAGGUUUGACAGUCUGAUGUCAUAGAGAAUCUCUGGAAGCUUUGAAUUCUUGAUAAGAAGGUUCUGUUAUUUUUUAGAAUGAUGAUGAUAUGUGAAUUCAGAGUAGUGUAUUAGAACACACUGCGCUGCACACUGUAUCCCAUAAUGCAAAGUGCUCAUCAUGCUUUUAGCUCAGAUUGGCUGAAUGUUUACCCAAGAUUGGACCGAAAAUGCAAAAUAAGCGAAUUUGCAACUGGAUUUUGAAUUAUAUAAAAUGAGGUCUGUGUGGCAUUCAGAAUUGAUUUCCUGUUUAAUUUCUGUUUUUGAACUGAGAUAGCAAACAGGAUGAAGAGUUGCAAUAUGAUUUCAGUGUUUGAGGUGUCACCUACAUAAAUAAAAAUUCAACCCUUUAUCAAACGCCUAGCGACCACCCAAAGUGUCCAAAAAACUGCAUUGCAACAUGCUAAAACCACUUCAACACCUUAGCAACUGCUUAGCGGCCAUUUAAAACACUAAACAUUUGUGAAUCAGAACACUUGAUUUCCCAGAAUGCACUGCAUCUGUGUUAAAUUGUUUUGAGUUAUGGCGCUUUAAAGUCAUAUCAGAAAGAUUGUAAAUACGAGUUGAAUGUGCAUGAACUUUUUUAUGUAAAAACUUUUU